UACGUAGGGUGCAAGCGUUGUUCGGAUUUACUGGGCGUAAAGGGCGCGUAGGCGGCUUUGUAAGUCACUUGUGAAAUCUCCGGGCUUAACUCGGAACGGCCAAGUGAUACUGCAAUGCUAGAGUGCAGAAGGGGCAAUCGGAAUUCUUGGUGUAGCGGUGAAAUGCGUAGAUAUCAAGAGGAACACCUGAGGUGAAGACGGGUUGCUGGGCUGACACUGACGCUGAUGCGCGAAAGCCAGGGGAGCAAACGGG
rnacentral:rRNA from 1 species